GUCGUAUAUUACUACCUCUAAAGUCACUAAGCAUUCUUAAUAAGCUCCAACCGUUUAAUCUUUAAUUUAUUACCAACUCUAAUCAAAAUGUACUCUCGUGUUCUUUCCGUCGCUGCUAUUGUCACCAUGGCCUUGGCCGUCCAAGCCGCCAACUCUACCGCCCCUUACGGUAACACCACCAACUCCACUGGUACCACCAACGGUACUAACGGCACCAACACCACCACCAGCUCUACUGCCACUCAAUCUAGCGCUGCCUCUAUCACCAACUUCAGCUCUGGUGCCUUUGUCAUUGCCAUGAUUGCUGUCGCUUGCUCUGUCAUGUCUCUCUAAAUUGCCUAACCCUUUUCAAAACUAGGCGUUUUUCCUACUUGCCGGCGUUGAGCAAGUAAUCUUGUUUCCAGGUGCCCCUAGCACCUGCCCUUUACCAAAGAGACGCUGUGGCUAGUUUGCCUUUCUCGCAACAACACGACGGCGUUCUUUCCUUUCAUUUCUAGGGAGGUUUCUAUAAUAAUAUACCUUCACGCAAUUUUUUUAGAUGGGUCUUAAAUUAUAUUUUUUUCCUCUGACAAAGAAUUGUUAUUUUUUUCCAUUCAACUAUAUUAUUCUGUGUGGUGUCGAGAGCACGCCGGUUUGGUAAUUAACAACAUAGCGAGAUAGGGAUAAAUGGUGUACAUAUUGAUUCUAGGUAUUCUUACAUACGUUCUUUUUUUUCGAAACUUAUAAUUUUCUUGUGAUUAGUUAUGGCGAGAGUCUAAGUGAUUUGCGGGUGAUUGUUUUUGUUUUGCGCAUUUUUAUUAUUUUUUAUUUUUGUUUUUCCCCUUUCUCCUCUUUCAAAUUAUUUUUCGUUUGUAUCUGUGUUUGUGUGCGUGUUUAGAAAGUGUUUUUAAUUGUUUCGUGUUUUUGAUAUAGUCGAGUAGCUUUUUCUGUUUUUUAUUGAACAUUAUCUUUUUUUAUCGAAAGUAGUGGAAAUGAUGGAAAGAGGAUUUGAUGAAUAUUCGAAAUCGGAACGGUUAACAUCACGUUCUAAACACAAUAGACGACCGCAUGGACACUGGAGAAGUUGGAGCGAAGAGCAAGAGUAGGAGAAAGAAAGUGUCGUAAAGGUCUUUGGAGGAGUCGUUGGAGGUAUGGUGUUGUUCGAAAUCUCGUUUGAGUUUUUAUUUUGAGAUUACUCUACUUUUAUAUUUUUUGGAAAUGACUGUUGAUCAGUUAAUUUUUUUUGGAGAUUAGCUGAGCGAUAUGUUUUUUUCCAACUAAUCUCGACUGUACAGAGGUGUGCGCAAAUCCCCUGUUUAGCAUGGAAGAAACUUUUUUUUGGGGUUUUCGUGUGACAGUGAUUUGUGUAUGUCCUCCACUCUCUUUCUCAGUGACAAAACAGCCCUUGAAUCGCAUUAAUAUAGCGUUCUAUGAUUUUGACUUCUUUGCUGCUGAUUUUGAUAUUUGACAAUUUCUAUUUUUUCUAAUCCUAUAAUGAUCAGAAAAAAUAAAAAUCUUUGAAAUGUUCUUCUCUUUUAUUUUUUCUUCCUCUCCUGCUGCAUUUUUUAUUCGUAAUGCAAUUUUAAAGGUUGAAAGCUUUUAAAGGAUAUUUUCCAAUUACACCCUUGAAUGUAUUGGACCUUGACAUUUCUAGAUGAAUUUUUCUGGAUAUCCCUCCUCGAAAACCAUCCCCUCAAGGUUUCGAUGCAUUUGUUUUUAGAGAAUAUCUGAUGUUUGCUUAUUAAUUUUCAUUCGCACUUAUUGCAAUUGUAUAAAGUUUUUCGAUGUAAAAUGAUUUUGUUUGUAAAUAUGCCUAAGAAGUAGAUUUUUUUGAUUAUUCUUAAACAAUAACAAUUCUUUUAUUGUUCGUUAA